rnacentral:rRNA from 1 species
UACGGGGGGGGCAAGCGUUGUUCGGAAUUACUGGGCGUAAAGGGCUCGUAGGCGGCCAACUAAGUCGAACGUGAAAUCCCUCAGCUUAACUGGGGAACUGCGUCCGAUACUGAUUGGCUUGAAUCCGGAAGAGGGAUGCGGAAUUCCAGGUGUAGCGGUGAAAUGCGUAGAUAUCUGGAGGAACACCGGUGGCGAAGGCGGCAUCCUGGACCGGUAUUGACGCUGAGGCGCGAAAGCUAGGGGAGCAAACGGG